GUAGGUGGCAAGCGUUGUCCGGAAUUAUUGGGCGUAAAGCGCGCGCAGGCGGUUCUUUAAGUCUGAUGUGAAAGCCCACGGGCUCAACCGUGGAGGGUCAUUGGAAACUGGAGAACUUGAGUACAGAAGAGGAAAGCGGAAUUCCACGUGUAGCGGUGAGAUGCGUAGAGAUGUGGAGGAACACCAGUGGCGAAGGCGGCUUUCUGGUCUGUAACUGACGCUGAGGCGCGAAAGCGUGGGGAGCAAACAGGAUUAGAUACCCUGGUAGUCCACGCCGUAAACGAUGAGUGCUAAGUGUUAGGGGGUUUCCGCCCCUUAGUGCUGCAGCUAACGCAUUAAGCACUCCGCCUGGGGAGUACGGCCGCAAGGCUG
rnacentral:rRNA from 1 species